AUUGAACGCUGGCGGCAUGCCUUACACAUGCAAGUCGAACGGCAGCACGGGAGCAAUCCUGGUGGCGAGUGGCGAACGGGUGAGUAAAGUAUCGGAACGUGCCCAGUCGUGGGGGAUAACGUAGCGAAAGUUACGCUAAUACCGCAUACGAUCUAUGGAUGAAAGCGGGGGAUCGCAAGACCUCGCGCGAUUGGAGCGGCCGAUAUCAGAUUAGGUAGUUGGUGGGGUAAAGGCUCACCAAGCCGACGAUCUGUAGCUGGUCUGAGAGGACGACCAGCCACACUGGGACGUAGACACGGCCCAGACUCCUACGGGAGGCAGCAGUGGGGAAUUUUGGACAAUGGGCGCAAGCCUGAUCCAGCCAUGCCGCGUGCAGGGUGAAGGCCUUCGGGUUGUAAACUGCUUUUGUACGGGACGAAAAGGUUUGACUUAAUACGUUGGACUCAUGACGGUACCGUAAGAAUAAGCACCGGCUAACUACGUGCCAGCCGCCGCCGUAA
rnacentral:rRNA from 1 species